UGGCGGACGGGUGAGUAACGCGUGGAAAACCUGCCGUAUACUGGGGGAUAACACUUAGAAAUAGGUGCUAAUACCGCAUAAGCGCACAGUAUCGCAUGAUACAGUGUGAAAAACUCCGGUGGUACAGGAUGGACCCGCGUCUGAUUAGCUUGUUGGCGGGGUAGGGGCCCACCAAGGCGACGAUCAGUAGCCGGCCUGAGAGGGUGGACGGCCACAUUGGGACUGAGACACGGCCCAAACUCCUACGGGAGGCAGCAG
rnacentral:rRNA from 1 species